GGCUUUUUGAAUAUAAUUUAAGGUCGGGCCUGCCCAAUGAUUAAUUAAAUGGCCGCGGUAUAUUGACCGUGCAAAGGUAGCAUAAUCAUUAGUUUUUUAAUUGAAAGCUUGUAUGAAGGGUUUAAUGAAAAAAAUACUGUCUCUAUUUAAAUUUGUUAGAAUUUUAUAUUUAAGUUAAAAAGCUUAAAUUUAUAUUGAAGACGAGAAGACCCUAUAGAGUUUAAUAUUUCAUAUAGUUAUUAGUUAUUAAGAAUUUUAAAGGUUAAUUAUAUAAAGUAUUUAGUUGGGGUGACUAAAAAAUUGGUUAAACUUUUUUUGUAUUUUUACAUUGAUUAAUGAAUUAAUGAUCAUUUAUUUAAGAUUAAAAGAUAUAAUUACCUUAGGGAUAACAGCGUAAUUUUUUUUAGAGCUCUUAUCGAAAAAAAAGAUUGCGACCUCGAUGUUGGAUUAAAAAUAAAUUAUUGGUGUAGAAGCUAAUAGAUUAGGUCUGUUCGACCUUUAAAUUUUUACAUGAUCUGAGUUUAAACCGGUGUAAG
rnacentral:rRNA from 1 species